AGAUUGCUGGCUGAUGCAAUAUUCAAUCAGAAUUUGAUCAUUUUUCAAUAGGAUUCCAAUCAACUGAACAAAAGAACUGUUGAUUAUUAUUUGCAGCCUCUGCGGUAAUCCAGCAUUGAAUUUGAUAUAAAUACGGCAACCUCGACACUCAAAAAGUAAGAAGUUUCUGAGAUUGUCGUGCAGAUCCUCAACAUUGACAGAUCGUAUCUUCAAUACUAUCAUCACUAUGAAGUUCUUCUACGUAGUUUUCGUAGCAGCUGCGUUGGCCGUAAUGUGUCUCAUGUCUCCCACUCAAGCCAGUCCAAAGCCCAGAGAAAUACACGGCAAAUGAUUCCCUAAUUUUGAAAUUGUUUCAAUGCUUGAACUUGUUUUGUGUGUGUGUUUGAUUGAAACAAUGUAAUAAAAUCAAUUGUCAAUUGAGAAA